rnacentral:rRNA from 1 species
UACGAAGGGAGCUAGCGUUGUUCGGAAUCACUGGGCGUAAAGGGUGCGUAGGUGGUGAGGUAAGUCGGAUGUGAAAUCUCCAGGCUCAACCUGGAAACUGCAUUGGAAACUACCUUGCUGGAGGAUUUGAGGGGGGAUUGGAAUACUUGGUGUAGCAGUGAAAUGCGUAGAUAUCAAGUGGAACACCAGUGGCGAAGGCGAAUCCCUGGAAAAUACCUGACACUGAGGCACGAAAGCUAGGGGAGCAAACAGG